rnacentral:tRNA from 1 species
UGGACGGAGGCCCGCUGGCGAAGGCGCUCAGCUGUUAACUGAGAGGUUGAAGGAUCGAGGCCUUCCCGUCUAG